rnacentral:lncRNA from 10 species
CAAAAAUUGAUUGGCUAUGGUUCAUCACCUCCUCUGGGUGAUCUGCUAUCUUCCUUCUCUUAUGACUCAGGUUAUUGACAGCUGGGAAAAGGCACACACCUCUGACUGAUGGUGACCCAAAAAGAAAUCAUAGAGAAGCAAAUUUGGCUCCACUGGUUUGAUUUUUCCUUCCUUCCUCCUUACACAUCCAAGGAGGUUUUGCUCUGGAAAUCUCUUGCUAUGGACCUGAUGUCUCACUGUGUUGCCCAGGCUAUUCUCGAACUCCUGGGCUGAAGAGAUCCUCCUGCCUCGGCCUCCCAAAGUCUUGGGAUUACAGAAAAGAACUCACACAAGCCUGGUGCCAAACCUGGAUGUGUCUCUGUGUCCAGGACUCUGAUUCCUAAAAACAUCGAGUCAUUAUAGAAGACAUCAGGACCACUGAGAAGACAGUCAGGAAAUCAGAGGGGGAGAAGGUCAAGAAGGACGAGGCCCUGCAAUCCUUUUUAUUCCCCUGGUGUCCUCAGGAUGGUGAAUAAGAACUCUAGGAACCUGCACCUGCAAAAGAAGAUCCAGGGCAAUGUAGAGAUUCCACAUCCUGAGCUUUCUUUGAUGUCUUCUUGCCAGCUAUCCCCAAUUCCUGAUUUAGUUCCUCUUAGGGACAGCUAUUCUGAAGGGUCUCAUCAGAGAAGCUUAUUUGGUUUCUAUUGGACAAGGAAUACAUGCAUUAUAAACAUUCCAGAUAAUGUUUAUGUUUCAAAUUGGUUUUUCAGUUCCUUUGCAAUUCUUGCUCAAGUUUUCCUCACCUUCUAAGUCUGAAAAAGUAAUUUCCAAAUCAUGGUGAAGGCAUUAUUGAAAAAUCAGGACCUUGUAGAAUCUUACAGUCAUUUGGCCAGGCUAACGGUUUAACCUGAAAGUGGAAUGGAUUUCCCAUCCGGGUUCCCAUAGUGAACAACUAUGUUUUUGUAACAUAACACAAUGAAGGGAGUUGUCACUAGAUGACUCAGCUAGUUAGAAUCUCAACUCC